rnacentral:rRNA from 1 species
AUACGGAGGAUGCAAGCGUUAUCCGGAUUUAUUGGGUUUAAAGGGUGCGUAGGCGGAUGAUUAAGCGUGAGGUGAAAUGCCACUGCUCAACAGUGGAACUGCCUCGCGAACUGGUUGUCUUGAAAGCUCCUGCCGUGGGAGGAAUGUGUGGUGUAGUGGUGAAAUGCAUAGAGAUCACACAGAACACCGAUUGCGAAGGCAUCUCACGAAGGGGUGAUUGACGCUGAGGCACGAAAGCGUGGGGAUCAAACAGGAUUAGAUACCCUGGUAGUCCACGCAGUAAACGAUGAUAACUAACCGCUGGGUCGUAGUGAUUCAGUGGCCAAGCGAAAGCGAUAAGUUAUCCACCUGGGGAGUACGACCGCAAGGUUGAAACUCAAAUGAAUUGACGGGG